CGCCCCUGGUGAUAGGUGAGGGAGUCUCCUGUGAAAAGAGGUGCUGUUAAAGGUGAUGGAGUCUGAGUUAUCUGGCCUUUUCACAAGGAAAUUGGGAUAUUCUGGGUUUGUGGUAACCAUUCCAAUCAAAGGCUCAGACAGCUGGCAGUCUGGGGAUAACGUUAACUGGAAUUGUUCACAGCUGGCUCAUCUGAGGUCCUCUGCUGUCUGUUUAGGAUCAGUGCAGACCAUAGCAAAUCUUAGAGGCUUCUUGGCUUUGUCAGAUAAAGUGCUUGGAUAUGUGUUUGGAUCUGAAUUGCAGUGUUUCAGAAAUUAAUUCAAUCCCAAAUUUUGGCAUCCCUGACUUCCCAAGGCUUGGCUCUGCUAUAUAACUUCAGGAUGCUUUCAGCCUCCUUCUUUCCUGUUAGCCAAAGGGAGCUUUUUCUCUCAAAGCAGACCAGACAUUCAUCUCUUGAACCAAGAUGCUUGGCCACCUUUUCUCUCUUUGGAUAAGGAAAAGAAGCUUUUUGGAAGGUGUGUGAUGUCUUAUUCCACCAAAGCCUCUAACUUGAUACUGGAUAACUAGACAGCUGUUUUCUUGUGAAAGAAAAUCCAGAGUAAAAUAUGGUGAAUUGAGUGAUGUAUUUACAGGAGACAUUAUAAAUAUGCUCCUUGGUAAUCCCUAAGGACAUAUGAAGUGGACCCAUGCUGGCUGGGUGCAAUCCAGCUAUGGAGGGACUAUUACUGCCAUCCUUGGCAGUAGGCUGGGUGCCUUGUGCUCUGGGAUUUGAGGUUAGAGCAAGUGCUUUGUUGCACACCAAGAUUCCUGUCACCUCUCUUCCAGUGGCAACUAACUGCUAUUGAAUAGGGAAAUUCCUGCAUCUUGGGUGGGGUUCCACCUAGUACAUGGUGGAACCUCACCAUGGAGGCUUGCACUGGGCAUUUCUAUCCCAGAUGAAGGGUCUACAGCUGUACCCCUUCUCCCUUCUUGAGGAAGAGACCCCCUGUGCCCUCCCUCUGGCACCCACUCUCUUCUGGUGGGCAAUUUUAACUCCUCUGAAUCAACCAGGUAAGCAGGUGUGUCAGUGUCCUUGCAAAACUGGGCAGUGUUUGGCCUUUAUGUGAGGAAAUGACUCAGAGGGUUUCAGAUUUUUCCAUAGCUGUGGAAAGGCAAUAAAUACAGCCUCCAGCAUGACAUAAAUAGCCAGCUGUGGCUAUUGCCAAGUGAGAUGACACCUCUGAUGGUUGACCUGGUUAUUUGAACAGCAAUGUCUCUGAUAUUAAAUAUCUAAUCCCCAAUGGAAAAUCCUGUGUCCUUAGUGGGAUUUAUCAGCCUGGUUUAAAUGAUGGACUGCAGGAAGGCAGAAAGGACUCUGGGUUUUUGUCUCACUGCUCUGACAAGUGAGAUUUCAUGUUGGGAUUUCCUUUAGUGUCUUGGACCAAGCAGUCACAGGAUUUCCCAAGACCCUUGCUAGCACUGAGGCUGUACCUGAAGUGCCAUUGUAGUCCCCAAUCCUCAGUUUGUAGAGGCUCCGGGAAUCACCAAUGGAGAACUUGUCAUAGUAGGCAUAUGCUGCCUCCUGACCAUCCCUCAUGUCUAUUCGCAGCUCGUAGCGCCCUUGGGAUGUGAUCUUGUGGAUGUUGUCCAAGCCUGUCGAGACAGUGAAACACCCAGUGAGGCCUGGGGCUGGAUCCGCUCCGUGAACAAACAAGGAAAGCUCUAGGCAAAUAAAACAGUAGUGGGAAAUGAGAGCAAGGAGAGGAAUCAAAGAGCAGCAGCACUUGUGGUUUCCAAAGCCAACCCGGUAAUCUGCCCAUUUCCGGAAGAAAUCGGUCAGCCCGUUCUGCCGCCGCUGGAAGACCUGAUGUGGAGGAAGACCAGGGGGAAAAUCACAGUGAUGGAAAUGAGAAACAGCUUUGCCAGGCUUUGGACACACAAGAUUCCUGAGCCCUUGAAGGUCCUGGGAAGGCAGAGUCAACAUGGAAGAACCUGGUGUCCUGCCAUACUGAAGAACUUCAAGAUGAAUGAGAGAACAUUUUUGCACAUAAUUCUUUUCUUUGCUCAAAAUAUGCCAGCAGAGCAGCAAAUCCAUGAGCUCUAUUUGCCACCUGGACAGAUCCUUGCUGCAGGUGCAUUACUUGGCGGUGCACCCAGACCCACAGGGGAAGACGAGCUCUAUCCCAAGGAAAACCUUCUCUCCAGUAAGCCCCAAGCCCUGCUGUUUGGUGCAGAUGACCAACUGGAAAAUCAGAUUUAUUUGGAGUUCAGGCCCGUGCUCAUCCUCGAUGCUGACCAACAAACCAUCAGGAGACAGAGUGUGCUGCCUUGGCAUGGCAGGAGCAAGCAGGUACUUGCUAGCAUCCAGCAGUCCCUGAACCAGGUGGUUAGAGCUGGGAUGUGUUCCCUGCUGGAGCACAACUGGCAGGAGCCAGGCCUCCGAGGUGGAUUUGCUCCCACUGCUGUCAGUGGUGGGGGUGGUGAUGUGGGAGUCCUCUGGGUGUAUUGUUUGGAUUUUAUGUUGAAAAGUCUCCUGCAGGCUUUCCAUAAGCCAAAACCACCUGCUGGUGGAUGGUUUCCAAGGCUGCCAAAGCCAAGUGCAGAUGGUGCCUGUUCCAUGCAGCUUUCCUCUUGGGCUCACUGGGAAGGAAAUUCAGCUCCACGGUAUCCCUGGUUGGCUUCCCAGCCUCAGACUUUUCACUCCAAGGCGAUCACACAGCUGGAAAACUGACCUGGAUUGCAUUGCAAGCUGAGAAUCCCAGCUCUGGAGUUUUUUGGAUCUCCAAAGUGAGGCUGCAGUACUCAUUGCCCCCAUCCCUCAGCAUCAUUAUUGCCUUGGCACUGAAAUCUCUCCUGGGUGCCAUGCCCCUCAGCCAUGGCAGGUGAGGGUGUGUACAUGGCAAGGCACACACCAAGCACUGGCACCCAGGGAAGGGCUGAAUCACCAUCCCUGGAGGGAUUUUAAAAAACUUGUAUAUCUGGCACCGAGGGACAUCGUUUAGUGGUGGGCUUGGCAGUGCCAAAUUAAUGGCUGGACCCUGAUCUUAGAGGUCUUUUCCAACCCAAAUGAUUCUAGGAUUCUCAGACCCUGUGGUGUGUGCCUUGCUUUUGCUUUGCUUUCUGAUUCAGCAAGAAAACUCUUGUGAUUUUCCUGUCCCACUGGAAAGAACUUGCACUUCCCACUGGAAAGAAGAGCUGCUUCAUUGCAGCAGCUGCUAACGGAGAAAUAGUGUAAAUAAUUCUCCUCAGCAGCUGAAACUGCUGCAAAUUUGUGUCAUCAGACUGGUCUGCAGCAGUAGGAUCCUC